rnacentral:rRNA from 1 species
UACGUAGGUGACAAGCGUUAUCCGGAUUUACUGGGUGUAAAGGGAGCGUAGACGGUAAUGCAAGUCAGAUGUGAAAACCCUGGGCUUAACCCAGGACGUGCAUUUGAAACUGUAGAACUAGAGUGCAGGAGAGGUAAGCGGAAUUCCUAGUGUAGCGGUGAAAUGCGUAGGUAUUAGGAGGAACACCAGUGGCGAAGGCGGCUUACUGGACUGUAACUGACGUUGAGGCUCGAAAGCGUGGGGAGCAAAC